rnacentral:rRNA from 1 species
GUCUAUUUGGAGAUAUAGAUAGUCUAGCCUGCUCACUGAUAAAAUUAUUUAAGAGCCGCGGUAUAUUGACCGUGCAAAGGUAGCAUAAUCAUUAGAGGUUUAAUUGGAAUCUGGUAUGAAGGGUUGGACAAAGAAAGAGCUGUCUUUAAGGUAUGUGUUGAAGUUUACUUUUAAGUGAAAAGGCUUAAAUGAAUCAAGGGGACGAUAAGACCCUAUAAAGCUUUACGAAUAAAUUAGAUCUGGUUAAUUUAUAAAAUAAUAAUUGAGUUUAAUAUUUUGUUUUGUUGGGGUGAUGUGAGUAUAAGUAAUAAUAACUGCUUAAAAAAUAUACUAUUGUAUAAGAAUAAAAAUAUAUGAUCCUUUUUAAAGAUUAAAAGACUAAGUUACUUUAGGGAUAACAGCGUUAUUUCUUUUGAGAGUUCAUAUCGAAAAAGAAGAUUGCGACCUCGAUGUUGAAUUAAAAUAUCUGUAUAGUGUAGCCGUUAUAGGAGAAGGUCUGUUCGACCUUUAAAUUUUU